CGGCAACAGCUCAAAUUUGAAAUCUGGCCUCUUUGGGGUCCGAGUUGUAAUUUGGAGAGGAUGUUUCGGGUACGGUCCGGGCUUAAAUUUCUUGGAACAGAAUGUCAAAGAGGGUGAGAAUCCCGUCUGGAGCUCGGACACGGCCUAUGUGAAACUCCUUCGACGAGUCGAGUUGUUUGGGAAUGCAGCUCUAAAUGGGUGGUAAAUUUCAUCUAAAGCUAAAUAUUGGCCAGAGACCGAUAGCGCACAAGUAGAGUGAUCGAAAGAUGAAAAGCACUUUGAAAAGAGAGUUAAAAAGUACGUGAAAUUGUUGAAAGGGAAGCGCUGGCAACCAGACUUGCGCGUCGGGGUUCCCCCUUGCUUCUGCCUGGGUUACUCCCCGGCGUUCAGGCCAACAUCGGUUUCGGGGGUUGGUUAAAGGCCCUGGGAAUGUACUUACCCUCCGGGGUAAACUUAUAGCCCAGGGUGUCAUGCGACCUCCCGGGACCGAGGAACGCGCUUCGGCUCGGAUGUUGGCGUAAUGGUUGUCAGCGACCCGUCUUGAAACACGGACCAAGGAGUCUAACAUCUAUGCGAGUGUUAGGGUGUCAAACCCUUACGCGGAAUGAAAGUGAACGGAGGUAGGAAGCCGUUAGGCUGCACUAUCGACCGAUCCUGAAGUUUACGGAUGGAUUUGAGUAAGAGCAUAGCUGUUGGGACCCGAAAGAUGGUGAACUAUGCCUGAAUAGGGUGAAGCCAGAGGAAACUCUGGUGGAGGCUCGCA
rnacentral:rRNA from 1 species